GUCCCUCCGCGGCGCCUGCGCGGCUGUGGGGACGGGCGGGCGAGCGGCUGGCGCUGCUGUCUCCGUGCCGGCGCUGAGGGGGCUGCGGUGCACGGCAUCCCCCAGCCCCGACUCCCGGUGUGACGGAGCCGUGGGUCCUUGCCCGGCCGGUGGCCGCGGAGGAUGGCAGGCUCUGUCUGGCAGCCCCACUGCCAUAGCAGAAGAUAGAGGUGCCUGAAGUGCCAGGGAAGCUGAGAUGUUUUCUCACAGCUCCAUUUAUUCCUUUUGUCUGCUCAACUAAACUUGAUCAUGUUCGGUGACGCUCUUUUGGAUCCAAGAAAGGCUGCAGAUUUUACCAAAGUGACGUACACUCCCGUUUCCUAAAAAUCACCUGCCCGCAAAACUGGAUACAGCAGUCUUCGUUUCCUGUCCUCGUUCCGGACUCCUUGCUGCUAGGGCCUGGCUUUUCUUACAUUGGAGGAGAUGGAAGCGUUGCUACGGACCGCAGCAACGGCAGGAGGAGAGCAGACACAGAUUAGGCAAGGUGUCGGAGGAUUUUCUGCACGCUCUGUUAAGUAUUUAGGGAACGGCGUGAUAUGUGAUCCUAAAUACGAGGUUAGGCAGUUUGAACUCUUGAGUUAGACCCCAGAUAUUUCCAGACAGGCAGAGCUACCUACUGACUGUACAUCUGAGAAAGUACAUCUGAAUUAUUUCUUCUGGCAAGUAUCGAGAGUAUGUUAGUGAAAUGUGCCUGGAUAUGGUAGCUUAAGAUAGAACUAUGCUGGAAAGGUUCCUGCAGCUGUUACUUGGAAAACAUCUGCGGUACCGUGCACGGAAAUAUGUACAUCUCUGUUCACACUAGCACAGAGCAAUUAAUCUUGUGAAACAAAGUAUAAAUUAUUAUUGGGAAAUAUGAGAAGGACAUUUUGCACCAAUGGACAUGGAAUGAGUAAAGGCAGUUAUCGUUUGGAAAGAAAGGAAAAAAAUGGAAUAUUCCAUUUCUGGCACAGGAAAUGGAGUAAGAUUGGCAGACUCUUCAAGACUUCCGGAACUCCAACUGCUAGUUAUUUAAGUAAGAAUAACCAAGCCAUUAGACUUGAGGGGUGAAAUUUUUUUACGCUUAGAGUUGGAAAAACCCCUUCUGUCUGGGAUAACUUGUGACAGUCUGUGUUUGUGUAGUCUGACAAAGGGAAGAAUAUACAGGUGGACAUGAUUUCUUAUUUACAGUUAAUGGUUAUCCCUUUGCAAAGUACAAAAGACAUUGCCCCGAAGAAGUCAAUUCUAGCAAAAGUCAUACAAGAAGGUAAACUUAAGAAACCCUGGGAAAGGACAACGAGAUGCAUUUUGUUCACAGCACUUUAGAUAGUUAAGGGAUUUUUCAUCUCUUGAGGCUUUCAAAUUAAGCCUGGGUCGUUAGAAGGCGUGCUUACUGAAAGGUAAUGGCCUGUUGCAUUCAAGAACUCAGACCGGAUAAUCUGAAAAGCGAGUGUGUAAGGAAUUGAGAAUGUCUUUGGUAACACAGCAGAGAGCGGCAGGAUGAGAAACGCGGAGGGAUAUCCGACUGGCAGCCAAAAAUUCGUCACCGACUGCUACUGAGGCAGGGUUUCUGCUAAGAGCCGAUGAGGCGUUGAGUUGCAGUGUGUGACCCGUCAUGUCAUGUCCCAAUAGCUGUGUAUGAGCUCUGUGGUACCGAACAUCCGUACUUUGCUAUUUUACCUAUUUUCUCUCACAAUACUUGCACUGCAUGAUUUCGAAACAGAAAUCGAGACGGACGUAUCUUCCUCUUGUUUCGUGGAUGCUUAGUGCAAAGGGUCUUUUGGCCUCUUAGCAUUUAAUCCAAAUUAUACAUGAAAUAGAUUUGCACCACGUUAAAUCUGAAAAUAAAUUUAAAAUAUCUGUUCCCGGUCCUCGUAACUGAAUGCCUCCUAGCAAAUCGUUUUACUCAACAGCUGCCUGGUUCUACGCUCAGAAAGGUGACUGCUCUUUUUUUCUCGGUUUAACUUUUAAUGACUAAUUUAAAUGCCAUUUAUGCAGAACCCCUAUGAUUUUGAAAAUGCCUUCUGAAAUUAUGCUCAGCUCCCUUUCUAAAAAGAUACUUUAAAAAGCCUUAAGUACAACAUUGCCUAGAAUUAUCUUGUCAAUUAAAUAAAAGAACCCACUUGAAAUAAGUGACAAAAAUAUACAGUGAAUGAAACACACCUUCCAGUAACAAAUCGUUAUUAAAAGAGACUUUUAAGCAAA